UAGACACUCUGUCUGCCAGGAACUCAAGAUUGUUAGACACUCUGUCUGCCAGGAACUCAAGGCUGUUAGACACUCUGUCUGCCAAGAACUCAAGGUUGUUAGACACUCUGUCUGCCAGGAACUCAAGGUUGUUAGACACUCUGUCUGCCAGGAACUCAAGGCUGUUAGACACUCUGUCUGCCAGGAAUUCAAGGGUGUUAGACACCAUGUCAGCCAGGAACUCAAGGCUGUUAGACACUCUGUCUGCCAGGAACUCAAGGUUGUUAGACACUCUGUCUGCC
ensembl:lncRNA